UAUCUCGCUACUCCUAUUAACUUUCAUUGCAUCAGUAGUCACAGGUGGUGUAUGCAAUACAUAGUCACAUACUAUGAGCUUCAUCUUUAUGCCGUUGGAUAUCUUUACAUAAAUUUGUGUAGACACCCCAUCAAGUGAAAGGCCGUCUUGUUCUUUUUCAUGGUGCCUUCCAGCUACAAAUUUCCAUUGUUCUUCUUGAGACCUUUCACAUUUGAUUCAAGAGAACUGCGUUAGGUUUAUUGAAGAAAAGCAGCCUUAAAUGAGGUCUCUGACAAUUGUGUGGUCCAUCUUUGUUUUAGUAGUGACUUACCUUAACAUUUCAUUUUUGAGGAAUAUUGCACCUAAAAGCAGUUAUGAAGGUGGAAAUCAAAAAAUGUUAUAACUUUGAAUGAUGUACCCCUUUUGGAAGUCGAGACAAUUUUGAUUUCAUGGAUGGCAUUGACGGGGAACAUAUUGCAUGUCUUGCUUAUCUUAGAUUGAGCUAUUUAGGCAACGUUAUUCAAUUGAUCUUUUCCAUUUCGGGGACUAGUUUAGUAUGAUACUUCUUUUGAAUGAGCAUCAAGUAUUGAAGCUGCAUUGAACACUACCCAGAUGCUUUCCUUGCCGCGAUGAUUUUCUUUUUUUCCCCUCUUUGAAGCCAAUUAUCCUACCUCGAGUCACAAUUUGUAGGCAUAAUGUCAGAGAGAAGGGCAGCUAAAGACUGGUUAUAAUUUCACAGUGCUGGGUCACUGGAAAGUACUGGUUGAGUGAUGUUAAUGGCCCAGCUAAGAUGAUUUAUGCAUAAUACACUAGAACUAUGUGUCAGAUUUGAAGUGAAUUUGAGAUUCAGGCAGGGAAGAAUCUGCGACUUGAUGAGUCAGCAUGUGCGUUAUGAUUACUACAUCUGCCUAUCAAUAAAACACUGGGAAUAUCUCGUGUUAUACCUUUUUUUCCCUUAUAUAUGUUAAAUCUUUCCAGGGAAUAUGACAAGUUUACUGUGGUGUCAAUAACAGCACUGCUUGUAUGCAGAAAAAUUUUCUUGUCAUUUGAUACCAAAGACUGCUUUUAAGACAACUCCCAUGUGGGUGCAUUAAUUUCAGAGGUAUGUUCGUGGAUUUCUAGUGCAAGGGAGACAGACAGAAGAUAUGAAAAGUUGUUUGUCGAGAAAGAUUCCAUCCCAUCGACAGGUCAGAUAUUUGUGGAAUCUGCUGUCUAUUCUAGGAAUUGAUGCUUUUCUUUGGCCCUAUCAUCCAAGGCAGGCAAGAGUUCUGUCCUUCUGCUGAUUGGGCAUUUCAAAUGCAAGGACAUGGUACGUUACUCCUUGUAAUUGAGGUCUAGAGACUCAUGAGGCAUCUUUGGAACAUGGGUGUGAUGAACUGUUCCUAGUUCACUCAAAAUGUUCCUCAAAACUACCAGCAGAGGGUUCUUUUAUGCCUUUGUAUCAUUUUAGAAAGUUAGAUUAACACAUGAGAAAAUGUGCAUGUGCACACAGAGAAGAGAAUUUAUUGCUAUAGUGAUUGAAAUAGUGAUGACUCUAUCCCAUUUGCUCUUUAAAGGUUCAUGUGCUCAUUGACAUUCAAAAUGCGCCUACUCUCUCCUGACAGUGUGAGGAAGACAUGAUCAUGGCUUCUUUGAUCUGCAUUGUGGAUUUUGAUUGUCAGAAGAUCCUAGUCUGCAAAUGGAGUUAGAUUGUGGAAAGAAACUUCAGUUCGAUACGGAGGUUAAUAUUGAUUUGGGAAGAUACGGUCUUGCUUAGCAAGAACUUAAUUUCAACUCUUUCAUUAGUGAUAGUUCAGUGAAUUACUUAACUGGAAAGUCGCCUUUCCCAAUGUUGGAUAAAUUCAUAGAAUCUGUGGCCUCCAUUGGAACUGUAUCAGGCGAUCACUAUAGUUUUAUUUUCAGAUAAACAGAGUGAUGAAAUAUUUCAAUUGCUUCAUAGUUCAUAGAAUUCUACCUGAGACUGUAGGAUAUUAAAGUUGCUAACCUUACCUGAAAGAAUUUUAAUGGGACUGAUAUGUCCUAUUUGAAAAGAAACUAUUGAUUGGCACUUUCCCCUUUCGUGUGGAGUAGCGUCAAGAAAAUGAUCUGGUUUUAAGGGCCUAUCGUUUCUUCUCCUUUUCUCAUGUAAUGCUGAUGAGUCUGUCACAGUAUAGGUAAAAUUCAAAGCUGGUACUGGUUCUCAAAGCAUGAACUCAUGGUUUCUAGCAUGUCAAGGAACAGGUUCUGUGAGCGGAUAAGCAGAAGGCAUAGAGCAUUUGCGGAAUAUGCUAUUUCUUUGCAAUGGGAAAUUUCUUGUGUUGAACCGUCCUCUUUAAGUCUACCUUUAGUAGAGACCAGCUUUCUUUUUUCCCUCUAUUUGACUGGCCUAGUUAUCUAGUUGCGGACCUGAUCCAGACUGUACAUUACCAGAAAUGUCACAAUCUUGAUUGCAAAGGUACAGAAAAUUUCUGUCCAACAUUUAUCCAUUUUUUUUCUUUUAUGUGUGAAAAUGAAGGUAAAGUGAGCUUAGUAAUAGGCCGGGUUAUCACUCUCUGCUGCGUCUGAUCCUGGAGGAUACCAUGCCUGAUUUAUCAGCAUUCUUUGAUUCUGGCAAAUCCUUCUGAUAUAACUAAUAACGUGGUUGACAUUGAUGAAAACACGACAAAUUGCUCCCCUAUGGAUGCUUGGUGGCUUGAAGCCAUAAGAGUCCACAUACUGUAGAAAACCAACAGGCCAUGGAGUAUGACCACAAGGCAAGGCAAGUCAUCCACUUUACUUAUCUCUGCAAAUAUUUUAGGAUCUUUCGACGGGUCAUGGAAGACGAAGACUGGCGGGUGGAUUUAGAAAUUAAUACACCUCAGGGUGAGCUCUGAGCUUGAGUUCGACCAUUCAAACAGCUCAGAGUUGCAAUUAUUUGGGAGGAAAGACGAUCCGGCUUAGUUCUUCAGCUUGCAGACUUGAACAAGGGUAGCACUUCAUGGAUCCUUUCAAUUCAAUUGCAUCAGAAAAAGAGCAUCAGACUGAAAGUAAUCGCCGUGAAGAUGUGGUUACCAACCAAAGUACUCUGAGCUCCGAUGUUUGGUUUGAAAAUUACUUUUGCUUGGCAAACAUUAGUACCUCAGAAGAGCCAUGUUAUUCAAGACGAAACAUCAGGCUGCGAAUCCAUUCCGACUGCUGACAGAUGGCAAGAGUGUCAUUUUAUGGAAAAUUCUUGGUUUAUCAGGCCACGAAAGUUGGAACUUGAAGAUUUUUCAUUUCAGAAACCUCUGUUCUCGCUCAGUACCUCGGGGUCACUUCACGCGACGAUCAUUUGUCUGACCAGAGGCUCUUAUUAUUCAAGUUUUUUCCAUUUUGUGCCAUAUUUAAGUAGGUGCCUUGACGCUUUUAUCAUGGCACUUAUUUUAGGUACAAAGCAAAGUUCUCCGAUUAGUGGUACAAUAUCACCCCGGCACCUCGCGAAUUUGUUCUUUCUAUGAGGUUGAU